UACGUAGGGGGCAAGCGUUGUCCGGAUUUAUUGGGCGUAAAGAGCGUGUAGGCGGCCAGAUAGGUCCGUUGUGAAAACUCGAGGCUCAACCUCGAGACGCCGAUGGAAACCAUUUGGCUAGAGUCCGGAAGAGGAGAGUGGAAUUCCCGGUGUAGCGGUGAAAUGCGCAGAUAUCAGGAGGAACACCAAUGGCGAAGGCAGCUCGCUGGGACGUGACUGACGCUGAGACGCGAAAGCGUGGGGAGCAAACAGG
rnacentral:rRNA from 1 species